UACGAAGGGUGCUAGCGUUGUUCGGAUUUACUGGGCGUAAAGCGCGUGUAGGCGGCCUUGUAAGUUGGGGGUGAAAUCCCGAGGCUCAACCUCGGAACUGCCUCCAAAACUACAAGUCUGGAGCAAGAUAGAGGCAAGUGGAAUUGCGAGUGUAGAGGUGAAAUUCGUAGAUAUCGAGAGGAACACCAGUGGCGAAGGCGGCGAUCUGGACGAUGACUGACGCUGAGACGCGAAAGCGUGGGGAGCAAACAGG
rnacentral:rRNA from 1 species